UCCACUGGUUCUCUGUUACAGCCUGUUAUAGGAUCCCAGUGUCCCUGUAUUGUGUUAUGUGCCACAAUCCACCUAUGGGACGAAAAGACCAGGCAGUGAACAACAUGUGGAACGAUGUAUUUAUCUUUUAACAUUAAUAGGGAGGUAUUUUCAUUAGGGUACCGAUUGAUCCUCUUUGCAACACAGCCCCUGCCUUGUUCGGAUUUGUGUGGGGUCUCACAAGAUUCUCUACAACGCGAUUUAAUCCCCGUCUAAUGCACACAGUGCAGGUCAUAUCAGUGCACGCACUGCAGCCAAACGAGCGGCCAUAGUGCUCUCCUGAGCAGGGGUCUGCAUCGGCCCCUAAUGAGCCUAAACUGAAACAGAUGAGUCAAAACAGAUGGGGCCGCAUUAUUAAUGACUGUACUUUACGCAGGAAAAACCUCUCUCCUUAAACACGAGGCCGGGGAAGCACAACACACAAAUAGCAGCUGCUUCCCAGUCGCGCUGGAGACCGGGGCCGCAGUUAGGGAGUCAGGCAUAACCACACUGCGGAAAACUGGCCAUGCCACUAAAUUGAAUCCAGGCCAAUCGAUCCUCUUCAAACACCCAGCCACUCCGGACUCACAGAGAGCAGAACAGGCCUCCGCAUGUCUGUGGGAAGUUCAUCAGCCCGAGAGAAGACAUUAGGAGUUCCCGGAGAGCCAUCGGUUAGUUAAGUAAGAGAAAUGUGGAGCUACGUGGAGCUUAUUAAGAAGGUGAGAAGUGAGUUUACUGUCUGAGCGAGGAAUAAUUGUGCUCCUAAAAGUGACUUCAAAAGGAGGUGGAAAAACCGUUAGCGAUGCUUGGAGCGACUUCUCGGCGGAGCGAGCCUCUCUGAGCUCGAGCUCUGCACAGCGUGGUGGAGCAGACCGUAAGCGCGUGCGGCAGUCCGUGAGGCAGACGCGUCGUCUGUCUCCGCACAGUUACCCCAAACCAGCUCUUAUCAGGACAGUUUGCAGGCCAGAUCUGCGUCUUUUCUGUGCAGACACUGUGGUGCACUUCGGCUGCGAAGCGCCAUGACUCUCCAUGCUUGCGGUAAUGCAGUGGGAAAUCAGCUACUGCACUAGCCCCACACGUCACUCGUUUUCAAACAGACAUGGACAUAUAUCUAUCAUAAUUAACAAAUUAUUCAGCGUAAAUAUGUUGUUGGUUAUGAGGACAUUGUUCUGAUACGUGAAGCUUUAUCUCAGUAUUUUCUAUGUUCUUCAUCACAAUUAUUUCAAUUAUUUUUCCCUUUGAUAAACUUUUGCUUAACUGUUUAACCCUU